rnacentral:rRNA from 4 species
GCAACAGCUCAAAUUUGAAAUCUGGCGCAAGCCCGAGUUGUAAUUUGUAGAGGAUGUUUCGGGUGAAGCCACGGUCCAAGUCCCUUGGAACAGGACGUCAUAGAGGGUGAGAACCCCGUACCUGGCCGUCGGCUCCCCCCGCUGUGAAACUCCUUCGACGAGUCGAGUUGUUUGGGAAUGCAGCUCUAAAUUGGUGGUAAAUUCCAUCUAAAGCUAAAUACCGGCCAGAGACCGAUAGCGCACAAGUAGAGUGAUCGAAAGAUGAAAAGCACUUUGAAAAGAGAGUUAAAAAGUACGUGAAAUUGUUGAAAGGGAAGCGCUUGCGGCCAGACUUGCCCGCGGUUGCUCAGCCCGCCUUUUGGCGGGUGCACUCUUCCGCGGUCAGGCCAGCAUCGGUUUGGGCGGUCGGAUAAAGGCGUUGGGAACGUGGCCUCCCCUCGGGGAGGUGUUAUAGCCCGGCGCGCAAUGCGACCAGCCCGGACCGAGGUUCGCGCUUUGCUAGGAUGCUGGCGUAAUGGCCGUAAGCGGCCCGUCUUGAAACACGGACCAAGGAGUCUAACAUCUAUGCGAGUGUUUGGGUGUCAAACCCGUGCGCGUAAUGAAAGUGAACGGAGGUGGGAACCGCAAGGUGCACCAUCGACCGAUCCUGAUGUCUUCGGAAGGAUUUGAGUAAGAGCAUAGCUGUUGGGACCCGAAAGAUGGUGAACUAUGCGUGAAUAGGGUGAAGCCAGAGGAAACUCUGGUGGAGGCUCGCAGCGGUUCUGACGUGCAAAUCGAUCGUCAA